rnacentral:rRNA from 1 species
GAUGAACGCUAGCGGCAGGCCUAAUACAUGCAAGUCGGACGGGAUUUGGGAGCUUGCUCCUAAUGAGAGUGGCGCACGGGUGCGUAACACGUAUGUAACAUACCUUAAUCAGGGGGAUAGCCUCUCGAAAGAGAGAUUAACACCGCAUAAUAUAUUUUUAUGGCAUCGUAGAAAUAUCAAAUAUUUAUAGGAUUAAGAUGGUCAGGCGGAACAUUAGUUAGUUGGUAAGGUAACGGCUUACCAAGGCUACGAUGUUUAGGGGAUCUGAGAGGAUGAACCCCCACACUGGUACUGAGACACGGACCAGACUCCUACGGGAGGCAGCAGUAAGGAAUAUUGGUCAAUGGGCGCAAGCCUGAACCAGCCAUGCCGCGUGCAGGAAGACGGCCCUAUGGGUUGUAAACUGCUUUUGUACCGGAAUAAACCCUUUUACGUGUAGAAGGCUGAAUGUACGGUAAGAAUAAGGAUCGGCUAACUCCGUGCCAGCAGCCGCCGUAA